AAUAUUGGACAAUGGGGGCAACCCUGAUCCAGCCAUGCCGCGUGUGUGAAGAAGGUCUUCGGAUUGUAAAGCACUUUAAGUUGGGAGGAAGGGCUUUAGGUUAAUACGCUGCAGUUUUGACGUUACCAACAGAAUAAGCACCGGCUAACUCAUUUCCAGCAACCGCGGUAAUAAAGAGGGUGCAAGCGUUAAUCGGAAUUACUGGGCGUAAAGAGCGCGUAGGUGGGUCAGUAAGAUGGGUGUGAAAUCCCCGGGCUUAAACUGGGAACUGCUUUCAUAACUGCUGAGCUAGAGUAGGGUAGAGGGUAGUGGAAUUUCCUGUGUAGCGGUGAAAUGCGUAGAUAUAGGAAGGAACACCAGUGGCGAAGGCGACUACCUGGACUGAUACUGACACUGAGGUGCGAAAGCGUGGGGAGCAAAC
rnacentral:rRNA from 1 species